AAAAAAUGCCUCUGAAAAUGUGAAACCUGACUUUCUCUAAUAAAUAGUCUUGGUCAAAAUAAUUUUAGACUUCUUGAAGAUGAAACUAAUUUAGAAAGAGCACUGGUCACUAGAAUGUGAAUGUGUCUGAGUCACUACUUUAUGUACCUUCAUGGUUUCGAAUGCUUUAUUCAAAACAUUUUAUUAUCUGAAGCCACAACUUUACAUUUAAAAGAUCCAUGCACACCUGAUAUAAAAGAUUUGAUGGAAGUGAUCGUUACAUUUAUUUAAUUAUCUUAAAGAUUAAAAAUUAAGUUUAAAAAUGUACAUGGAGCCAUCUUACACAUAAAAUGGCAACACGUUCUCACUCCCAACUCGUCAAAUGUGUGACGCAUGGUCAGGCUCCCUCUGCUUCACUUAUCGACGUGCAGGGCACCCCCCUCGCGUCGAGAACAGCAGUGUUACAGGUGUGGGGAAAAUACAUAAGACUGCAGUGAAGCGAUGUACCAGAUUAAUCCCUGGCCAAAGAACAGUUCUCCACAGUCGCUGUCCACAUGGGUCAGUGGGACCAAGAAGCACUCUGCUAAUGUGUGGACUCUGACCAGCAACAUCCAGCAAGACCCAGACACCGUUUUCUAUCUCCCAGCUGGAGUUUUUUGUUUGUGACUGGAGAGUCAGAUUUUUGUUGAAGCUGGAGGAACAGCCUCACACUUGCAGAGGUAAGUCAGUUUGUAGAGAUCCCUCCCACCCUGGCUUUUAUGUGCUAGAUUUUCUUAUCUGAAACAGUAACACUUCAGUGACUGCUGCCUAUACCACACGCUACUGAUCCCUGAUGGGAGAAUCAUCACCUCUGGCAACAAAGAAGCCUGCUGGAUAUUUGUUUACAAUCUGAUUAUGGGACAUCAUGCUCUGUAUCUUCAAAGUUUGUCUCUUGAUUAUUAUUCAUACACAGUAAUGUGAAGCAUGCUUAUAUCUAGUAUAACUGGACCAACCUAGUGCUCUUCAUUUAUGGAGGCUGUUGAGUCUGAAUGUUGGAUGUUGUGUAUCUCGUGUUCUCUGGGCUUUGCUGUCCUCAGUCUUUUUGCAGGAUCAGAAAACAAAACUAGGAGACCUGUAAAUGUUUCUUCCUCAACUGGAUGAUGAUAAGACUGUGACACGGGAUGCCACCUUUAGUCUUGUGAUGAAGCAAAGCUCAGGAAGAAGUGCGAUUAAAUGGUACCCACAUGUGUGCUGCUGAGAAGGAUGUACAGGGGCACAUGCAGCCAAAUCCAAGCCUCCUCAGGAGUGUUUCUGAGUGAGGGAGAGAGGAGUCAUCAUCCAGGUAAAGUGACGUGGAUCAGUUGUCUCCCCUUUACAGGAGACAAUCCGAGUCAUCCUUAAAUAUGGGCAGGAUAUCAGUCUUGGACUGUCUGACCUGCAGCACUGAAUGAUCACCACACAUGAGCAUGUUCCUGCAACAUUCAGCAGCUUUGUUUUUGUGUCAAAUGUCAAACAGCUGGAGAGGAAACUACACCAGUACUGGGUUGUUUAACCAACACGUGCCAGAUGCUGUUUCUUCAUGGUUUCAUCGCCAGAGACAGCCCCGCCCACCUCAGGACCUCGCCAUUGAUCAUGAUGAUUAUAAUGAUGACAGCGAGUAGAACUAAGACUGUAAAAAUCCACGACCAGAAUGUUUAGAUGCUUUCUAAUUAUUAAUGAAUACUGAGAGCCUCUUUCUGUGUUUUGUCUGUUUUGGGGUUUUUUUUUUUUUACCUCAUUUGUUACUAACAAAGUUCACCAAACUCACACAGUUUACAUUCUGUAUGUUUCCAUCUUUACCAGCCACACUCUAACUGCAUUUAAGAAAAUAAUCCUUAGAAAUCAUUGUUUUUCUCUUUUGUAAUUGAUGAUAAUUCAGUGAAUAUACUGCGCUGCUUCCUUUUAUUGCAUCACACAUUGCUUUAAGUUUUUCAGUGUUCAGUUAUUUUUUACUGCUGUUUGAAUUCAAUGUAUGUUUGACCCUGUAGACUGUUUAAUGGACUGCUUGUCUUCCUGUUUGUAACCACUGCCUGUUUUUGACUAAAGAUUUGGAUUUCUGACUUUAACACAGCCUCUGCGUGUCCUCCCUUUGUGUCCUC
ensembl:lncRNA